rnacentral:lncRNA from 1 species
GCCAGAUAUCGUCCUGAGAAGCUUAUGGAGCACAUUAAACUAUUCUCAACCCGCCUAAACAUUCCCAAACUCAUACGAGCGUGUGAUGAGCAGCAGCACUGGAAGGAGCUUACUUAUCUGUAUAUUCAAUAUGAUGAGUUUGACAAUGCUGCAACCACCAUAAUGAACCACUCCCCAGAAGCAUGGGAUCACAUGCAAUUCAAAGAUGUUGCAGUCAAAGUUGCAAAUGUGGAGCUCUACUAUAAGGCCGUGCACUUCUACCUGCAGGAACAUCCUGAUCUUAUUAAUGAUCUCCUUAAUGUGCUUGCUCUUCGUGUGGACCACACUCGGGUUGUUGACAUAAUG